AUGUUUGCGAUUCAUGCAUUUGUCUAUAACUCUGUCUUUCUCUCUCUCUCUCUCUCUCUCUCUCUGUGUACAUCUUUUCAUCUCUCUCCCGCACAAAUUUUCUCUCCUUGCUUCACCUCCAACAUGGGAAAGGCUCAAGAUCUGCAGCUGCACAUGGUUACAGAUCAGGAAGCCAUUAAAGGAUCAUCAAAUUCCAUGGAGUCUAAAGGUGCCACCCACCAAUCAACAUUCUCUCAACCUAGAUCUUUCCAAUGGUGGCUCAGAAUGGCCAUCUAUACUCUCUUUGUUCUCUUCGGACAGUCAUCUGCUAUGCUCUUGGUACGCCUGUACUAUAGCAAAGGUGGAAAGAGCAAAUGGAUUGCAACACUAAUGCAAGUAAUAGGAUUUCCAAUCCUCAUCCCAUACUACCUCAUCAUACCAUCCAAAAACGGGCUGAACAACAAAGAUUCAAGCCAACCAUCUGUUUUAGUCCUUGCCAUGAUCUAUUUCGCUUUUGGUUUAUUACUAGCAGCACAGAGCCUAUUGUAUUCCAUAGGGCUCUUACACCUUCCAGUGUCUAUUUUUUCACUCAUUUGUGUAUCUCAGUUGGCCUUCAAUGCCUUAUUCUCCUUCCUCCUCAAUUCACAGAAGUUCACUCCAUAUAUAAUCAACUGUUUGGUCCUCCUCACAGUCUCCUCCUGCUUGCUUGUCUUUCACACCAACAUGGUAAACCUAAAUGGGAUUUCCAAAGACAUGUACACAAUUGGAUUUCUAUGUACACUUGGUGCUUCUGCAGGGUAUGGAUUUUUGCUAUCACUAACGCAGUUUACCUUCCAAAGGGUUCUGAAAACAGAAACAUUUAGAGUGGUAUUGGAAAUGAUAAUCUAUCAGUCACUAGUGGCAAGUUGUGCCACCCUUUUUGGACUUUUCUUUGGUGGAGAGUGGAAUAAUUUGAAAAGAGAAAUGGAAGAAUUUGGACUUGGAAGGUUAAACUACUUUAUAACUUUGGUUUGCACAGCAAUGGGUUGGCAGAUUUCCAUAGUGGGAGCAAUAGGAUUGAUUUUUGAGGUUUCUGCAUUAUUCUCUAAUGUGAUUGGUGUUUUGGUUUUGCCUUUUAUUCCGGUUCUGGCAUUAUUAUUUUUUAAUGAUGAAAUUGAUGGAAUACAAGUGAUUGCCAUGGUUCUGGCAAUUUGGGGCUUUGCCUCAUAUCUUUAUCAGCAUUAUGUGGAUAAUGCUUCAGAGUUGAAGAUUGAAAAUAAACAUGUAAAAGAAGUUUCACUGAUUCCCCUAUUGAAGGAGGUCAAAGCUCUUGAACAAUGAGUACGAGUUUUGAUACCCAAGGUUUUUUUUUUUUUUUUUUUUUUAAUUUAUUUGUUGGAUCUAUUUAUUCAAUUUUUUUCAUUCCAAUACCACAGAUCUAUACGUAUGAGACCUCAAGUUGCACACAAGCAAGCAAUAUUCAAUCUUUUUAAUUUAUAUUUUGUUCAUUUUUACCUCCUUAAAAUAUUCAGACUUUGCAGAACAGAGUCAAAUUAGGAGGUAAGCAAAUGCUAAAUCUGGGGCUUACCAUCAGUGAUAAGCCAUAUGGGUCUGUUGAAUAAGCUUUCUCUGUUUUUAUGCACAUAUAUAAUUUGCUUUACCUGUAAAACCUUUAUGAGUUUUAUUAACUAUUGUCUGGCAUUUGGUAAGCGUAUUUUUAGUGAAUCUGGGUCUGGCAUUUUCACACUUUUAAUCAUUGUGUCUAUGUGGAGCAGAAGCACUAAAUAAUUUUGUAAAAUGAGGGUGGCAAAAAAAUUUCCCUAUUAUAAAGGGACAACAAGUUGACAAGGGUCUAGUGGAGGAUAUGAAAAUACCUUAUAAGUAACAAUAAGAUUCUCAGUCUACAUUCUCCAUUUUUUGGAAGCAAGCAACUUCAAUAUUUUAAAAAGUAAAUAGGAGAGCUAUAGUAUGGUACUCGAUGCCAAAUUUAUAAAUCAAGCAUUUGUUUUUUUAAAGAUUGGAUAUUUCUUUUCUAGAAGUAUUACAUGCUAAUAUAACAUUAUUAACUGUAAUUUAAGACUAAACUUAAAUUAAUAUAGACAAAAUAAUAUAAUUUACUACUUCCAUCUUUUUAUUAUACGAAAAAGUCUGUACACAUUAUUGAUCCAUGUCAAAGUAAUAGAAUUAUAUAUUUUCGUUGAAGUGGAGACAUAAAAGGUGUUGUGGGGUUGCAGAAGGAUGCAACAUAGAAUGGUUAGAAAAAAGAAUCUAACACUUGGCAGUAAUAUAAUAUGCUUAUUUAGAGUGAAGGGCAUUGGCAGCACUAAUAACACCAUAAUUAGGUCCACAUAAUUAGUUAUAAAAAACCUAAAAUAAAAAUUCCAUGAAUUCCAAGCAACUAAUGAGAAAUUAUAGAUAUAUAUAUAUAUAUAUAUUCCCUUUUCUUUUCCUUAGUGCUAAAACUCUCAACACCUUAUGGGAAAUUAUAGUUUCUGUGUUUGGUGCUAACGGGAUUAAUUAAUUGGAGUGGAACAUGAUUGAAACAUAACAAUUUUUAAUUUAAUUUUGUUACAUGGUUGUUUAUAUAAACAUGACUCUAUUUGGUGGAGCUGAAAGAGGAAUAUUUGUUAGUUAGAUACCCAGGAGAAGCGGUCGAAAGAUUGAAGUGGAUUAAGCCAUCAAUAAGAGGCGCAAUGAAGUUCAAGAUGAUGAUUUUUACACAUUCUUUUUCCAGCUGAUGACUUGCCACUAAUUUGACCAACACAAAUUGCGUGUCUUUAGUCACUGCUCUUUGUACGGUUGAAGCUCAAAAACUGCAACUCAGCAUCAUGG